AGUGAACGCUGGCGGUAGGCCUAACACAUGCAAGUCGAACGGCAGCACAGAGGAGCUUGCUCCUUGGGUGGCGAGUGGCGGACGGGUGAGGAAUACAUCGGAAUCUACUCUGUCGUGGGGGAUAACGUAGGGAAACUUACGCUAAUACCGCAUACGACCUACGGGUGAAAGCAGGGGACCUUCGGGCCUUGCGCGAUUGAAUGAGCCGAUGUCGGAUUAGCUAGUUGGCGGGGUAAAGGCCCACCAAGGCGACGAUCCGUAGCUGGUCUGAGAGGAGGAUCAGCCAAACUGGAACGGAGAACCGGUCCAGACUCCUACGGGAGGCAGCAGUGGGGAAUAUUGGACAAUGGGCGCAAGCCUGAUCCAGCCAUACCGCGUGGGUGAAGAAGGCCUUCGGGUUGUAAAGCCCUUUUGUUGGGAAAGAAAUCCAGCUGGCUAAUACCCGGUUGGGAUGACGGUACCCAAAGAAUAAGCACCGGCUAACUUCGUGCCAGCCGCCGCGGUAA
rnacentral:rRNA from 1 species